rnacentral:miRNA from 1 species
GUCAGCAGACACAUUCCAGCAGCAGACCCUCCCUCCCAGACCCUCCCACCUCCUGGACAGCAUUCAUUUUGAAGCUGCAUUCUUAGUGAGCUGUCCAGGAGGUGGGAGGGUCUGGGAGGGAGGGUCUGCUGCUGAUUGGCUGGAAUG